UGGGGAAUAUUGCACAAUGGAGGGAACUCUGAUGCAGCAACGCCGCGUGCGGGAUGACGGCCUUCGGGUUGUAAACCGCUUUCAGCCAUGACGAAGCUUUUGUGACGGUAGUGGUAGAAGAAGCACCGGCUAACUACGUGCCAGCAGCCGCGGUGAUACGUAGGGUGCGAGCGUUGUCCGGAAUCACUGGGCGUAAAGGGUUCGCAGGCGGAAAUGCAAGUCAGGUGUAAAAGGCAGUAGCUUAACUACUGUAAGCAUUUGAAACUGCAUAUCUUGAGAAGAGUAGAGGUAAGUGGAAUUUUUAGUGUAGCGGUGAAAUGCGUAGAUAUUAAAAAGAAUACCGGUGGCGAAGGCGACUUACUGGGCUCAUUCUGACGCUGAGGAACGAAAGCGUGGGUAGCAAACAGG
rnacentral:rRNA from 1 species